rnacentral:tRNA from 1 species
GCAUCCAUAGCUCAAUUGGAUAGAGUGCAUGACUUCGGAUCAUGAGGUUGAGGGUUCGACUCCUUCUGGGUGCGCCA